CACAUGGUCGCUAGGUCGACGUAAGUUUCUGUUCAGAAGGAAACAUUUCAAACUUUGAUGGAAAUGGAUUGGACACGUCUGCAGAAUGCCACUGACAUCCAUCCCAAGAGUGGCCAUGCGCAGGACCCCUGGUGGCAAGAGAAUGAGGGGGAAACCCAACGAGACCUGGAGAAGAUCGGUGGAGCGGGAGAUGAAGGCUCUUGGGUGGAGUUGGAGCCAGGUGACGAGGUUUGCAACGGACAGACAACAUUGGCGUUCUUUGGUGUCGGCCAUAUGUGUGACCGCACACGAAGAGGAUUAACUAAAUGACGCCGAUACGUCUCUCUCUGAUGUCUUUGAAUGGUGGCCACGAAAGUAAAUAAAGUUCAACUCUGUUCUGCCGAACAUUCGCAUCGUUUGCGCGUUGUCUUCCUCGACUACAUUUCCAUAGAAAUACGAUGU